rnacentral:rRNA from 1 species
CCCCAAACCGACACAGGUGGUCAGGUAGAGAAUACCAAGGCGCUUGAGAGAACUCGGGUGAAGGAACUAGGCAAAAUGGUGCCGUAACUUCGGGAGAAGGCACGCUGACACGUAGGUGAAGUGGUUUACCCAUGGAGCUGAAGUCAGUCGAAGAUACCAGCUGGCUGCAACUGUUUAUUAAAAACACAGCACUGUGCAAACACGAAAGUGGACGUAUACGGUGUGACGCCUGCCCGGUGCCGGAAGGUUAAUUGAUGGGGUCAGCGCAAGCGAAGCUCCUGAUCGAAGCCCCGGUAAACGGCGGCCGUAACUAUAACGGUCCUAAGGUAGCGAAAUUCCUUGUCGGGUAAGUUCCGACCUGCACGAAUGGCGUAAUGAUGGCCAGGCUGUCUCCACCCGGGACUCAGUGAAAUUGAACUCGCUGUGAAGAUGCAGUGUACCCGCGGCAAGACGGAAAGACCCCGUGAACCUUUACUAUAGCUUGACACUGAACACUGGUCCUUGAUGUGCAGGAUAGGUGGGAGGCUUUGAAGUGUGGACGCCAGUCUGCAUGGAGCCAUCCUUGAAAUACCACCCUUUAAUGGCUGGUGUUCUAACGUGGGCCCGUGAACCGGGUUGCGGACAGUGUCUGGUGGGUAGUUUGACUGGGGCGGUCUCCUCCUAAAGAGUAACGGAGGAGCACGAAGGUUGGCUAAUCCUGGUCGGACAUCAGGAGGUUAGUGCAAUGGCAUAAGCCAGCUUGACUGCGAGCGUGACGGCGCGAGCAGGUGCGAAAGCAGGUCAUAGUGAUCCGGUGGUUCUGAAUGGAAGGGCCAUCGCUCAACGGAUAAAAGGUACUCCGGGGAUAACAGGCUGAUACCGCCCAAGAGUUCAUAUCGACGGCGGUGUUUGGCACCUCGAUGUCGGCUCAUCACAUCCUGGGGCUGAAGUAGGUCCCAAGGGUAUGGCUGUUCGCCAUUUAAAGUGGUACGCGAGCUGGGUUUAGAACGUCGUGAGACAGUUCGGUCCCUAUCUGCCGUGGGCGCUGGAAGAUUGAGGGGGGCUGCUCCUAGUACGAGAGGACCGGAGUGGACGCAUCACUGGUGUUCGGGUUGUCAUGCCAAUGGCACUGCCCGGUAGCUACAUGCGGAAGAGAUAAGUGCUGAAAGCAUCUAAGCACGAAACUUGCCCCGAGAUGAAUCUUCCCUGAGCCUUUAAGGCUCCUGAAGGAACGUUGAAGACGACGACGUUGAUAGGCCGGGUGUGUAAGCGCAGCGAUGCGUUGAGCUAACCGGUACUAAUGAACCGUGAGGCUUAACCUUACA